ACUAUCGUUAACUGAAUACAUAGGUUAACGAGGCGAACCGGGGGAACUGAAACAUCUAAGUACCCCGAGGAAAAGAAAUCAACCGAGAUUCCCCCAGUAGCGGCGAGCGAACGGGGAGCAGCCCAGAGUCUGAAUCAGCUUGUGUGUUAGUGGAACGGUCUGGAAAGUCCGACGGUACAGGGUGAUAGUCCCGUACACCAAAAUGCACAGGUUGUGAACUCGAAGAGUAGGGCGGGACACGUGGUAUCCUGUCUGAAUAUGGGGGGACCAUCCUCCAAGGCUAAAUACUCCUGACUGACCGAUAGUGAACCAGUACCGUGAGGGAAAGGCGAAAAGAACCCCGGCGAGGGGAGUGAAAAAGAACCUGAAACCGUGUACGUACAAGCAGUGGGAGCACCUUCGGGUGUGACUGCGUACCUUUUGUAUAAUGGGUCAGCGACUUAUAUUCUGUAGCAAGGUUAACCGUAUAGGGGAGCCGCAGGGAAACCGAGUCUUAACUGGGCGUUAAGUUGCAGGGUAUAGACCCGAAACCCGGUGAUCUAGCCAUGGGCAGGUUGAAGGUUGGGUAACACUAACUGGAGGACCGAACCGACUAAUGUUGAAAAAUUAGCGGAUGACUUGUGGCUGGGGGUGAAAGGCCAAUCAAACCGGGAGAUAGCUGGUUCUCCCCGAAAGCUAUUUAGGUAGCGCCUCGUGAAUUCAUCUUCGGGGGUAGAGCACUGUUUCGGCUAGGGGGUCAUCCCGACUUACCAACCCGAUGCAAACUACGAAUACCGAAGAAUGUUAUCACGGGAGACACACGGCGGGUGCUAACGUCCGUCGUGAAGAGGGAAACAACCCAGACCGCCAGCUAAGGUCCCAAAGUCAUGGUUAAGUGGGAAACGAUGUGGGAAGGCACAGACAGCCAGGAUGUUGGCUUAGAAGCAGCCAUCAUUUAAAGAAAGCGUAAUAGCUCACUGGUCGAGUCGGCCUGCGCGGAAGAUGUAACGGGGCUAAACCAUGCACCGAAGCUGCGGCAGCGACACUAUGUGUUGUUGGGUAGGGGAGCGUUCUGUAAGCCUGCGAAGGUGUGCUGUGAGGCAUGCUGGAGGUAUCAGAAGUGCGAAUGCUGACAUAAGUAACGAUAAAGCGGGUGAAAAGCCCGCUCGCCGGAAGACCAAGGGUUCCUGUCCAACGUUAAUCGGGGCAGGGUGAGUCGACCCCUAAGGCGAGGCCGAAAGGCGUAGUCGAUGGGAAACAGGUUAAUAUUCCUGUACUUGGUGUUACUGCGAAGGGGGGACGGAGAAGGCUAUGUUAGCCGGGCGACGGUUGUCCCGGUUUAAGCAUGUAGGCUGGUUAUCCAGGCAAAUCCGGAUAAUCAAGGCUGAGGUGUGAUGACGAGGCACUACGGUGCUGAAGUAACAAAUGCCCUGCUUCCAGGAAAAGCCUCUAAGCAUCAGGUAACAUCAAAUCGUACCCCAAACCGACACAGGUGGUCAGGUAGAGAAUACCAAGGCGCUUGAGAGAACUCGGGUGAAGGAACUAGGCAAAAUGGUGCCGUAACUUCGGGAGAAGGCACGCUGGUGUGUAGGUGAAGCCCCUGCGGGUGGAGCUGAGACCAGUCGAAGAUACCAGCUGGCUGCAACUGUUUAUUAAAAACACAGCACUGUGCAAACACGAAAGUGGACGUAUACGGUGUGACGCCUGCCCGGUGCCGGAAGGUUAAUUGAUGGGGUUAUCCGUAAGGAGAAGCUCUUGAUCGAAGCCCCGGUAAACGGCGGCCGUAACUAUAACGGUCCUAAGGUAGCGAAAUUCCUUGUCGGGUAAGUUCCGACCUGCACGAAUGGCGUAAUGAUGGCCAGGCUGUCUCCACCCGAGACUCAGUGAAAUUGAACUCGCUGUGAAGAUGCAGUGUACCCGCGGCAAGACGGAAAGACCCCGUGAACCUUUACUAUAGCUUGACACUGAACAUUGAGCCUUGAUGUGUAGGAUAGGUGGGAGGCUUUGAAGCGUGGACGCCAGUCUGCGUGGAGCCAACCUUGAAAUACCACCCUUUAAUGUUUGAUGUUCUAACGUUGGCCCCUUACCGGGGUUGCGGACAGUGUCUGGUGGGUAGUUUGACUGGGGCGGUCUCCUCCCAAAGCGUAACGGAGGAGCACGAAGGUUAGCUAAUCCUGGUCGGACAUCAGGAGGUUAGUGCAAUGGCAUAAGCUAGCUUGACUGCGAGCGUGACGGCGCGAGCAGGUGCGAAAGCAGGUCAUAGUGAUCCGGUGGUUCUGAAUGGAAGGGCCAUCGCUCAACGGAUAAAAGGUACUCCGGGGAUAACAGGCUGAUACCGCCCAAGAGUUCAUAUCGACGGCGGUGUUUGGCACCUCGAUGUCGGCUCAUCACAUCCUGGGGCUGAAGUAGGUCCCAAGGGUAUGGCUGUUCGCCAUUUAAAGUGGUACGCGAGCUGGGUUUAGAACGUCGUGAGACAGUUCGGUCCCUAUCUGCCGUGGGCGCUGGAGAAUUGAGGGGGGCUGCUCCUAGUACGAGAGGACCGGAGUGGACGCAUCACUGGUGUUCGGGUUGUCAUGCCAAUGGCACUGCCCGGUAGCUAAAUGCGGAAGAGAUAAGUGCUGAAAGCAUCUAAGCACGAAACUUGCCCCGAGAUGAGUUCUCCCUGAGACUUUAAGUCUCCUGAAGGAACGUUGAAGACGACGACGUUGAUAGGCCGGGUGUGUAAGCGCAGCGAUGCGUUGAGCUAACCGGUACUAAUGAACCGUGAGGCUUAACC
rnacentral:rRNA from 1 species